rnacentral:rRNA from 1 species
UAGCUAGUUGGUGAGGUAAAGGCUUACCAAGGCGACGAUCUGUAGCGGGUCUGAGAGGAUGAUCCGCCACACUGGAACUGAGACACGGUCCAGACUCCUACGGGAGGCAGCAGUGGGGAAUUUUGGACAAUGGGGGCAACCCUGAUCCAGCCAUGCCGCGUGAGUGAAGAAGGCCUUCGGGUUGUAAAGCUCUUUCGGCCGGGAAGAAAUCGCAUGGGCCAAUACCCUGUGUGGAUGACGGUACCGGAAUAAGAAGCACCGGCUAACUACGUGCCAGCAGCCGCGGUAAUACGUAGGGUGCGAGCGUUAAUCGGAAUUACUGGGCGCAAAGCGUGCGCAGGCGGUUUUGUAAGACAGGCGUGAAAUCCCCGGGCUUAACCUGGGAACUGCGUUUGUGACUGCAAGGCUAGAGUACGGCAGAGGGGGGUGGAAUUCCACGUGUAGCAGUGAAAUGCGUAGAGAUGUGGAGGAACACCAAUGGCGAAGGCAGCCCCCUGGGUCGAUACUGACGCUCAUGCACGAAAGCGUGGGUAGCAAACAGGAUUAGAUACCCUGGUAGUCCACGCCCUAAACUAUGUCAACUAGGUGUUGGGUGGGUAAAACCAUUUAGUACCGUAGCUAACGCGUGAAGUUGACCGCCUGGGGAGUACGGCCGCAAGGUUAAAACUCAAAGGAAUUGACGGGGACCCGCACAAGCGGUGGAUGAUGUGGAUUAAUUCGAUGCAACGCGAAAAACCUUACCUACCCUUGACAUGCCAGGAACUUGCCAGAGAUGGCUUGGUGCCCGAAAGGGAGCCUGGACACAGGUGCUGCAUGGCUGUCGUCAGCUCGUGUCGUGAGAUGUUGGGUUAAGUCCCGCAACGAGCGCAACCCUUGUCGUUAAUUGCCAUCAUUUGGUUGGGCACUUUAACGAGACUGCCGGUGACAAACCGGAGGAAGGUGGGGAUGACGUCAAGUCCUCAUGGCCCUUAUGGGUAGGGCUUCACACGUCAUACAAUGGUCGGUACAAAGGGUUGCCAAGCCGCGAGGCGGAGCCAAUCCCAGAAAGCCGAUCGUAGUCCGGAUUGCAGGCUGCAACUCGCCUGCAUGAAGUCGGAAUCGCUAGUAAUCGUGGAUCAGCAUGUCACGGUGAAUACGUUCCCGGGUCUUGUACACACCGCCCGUCACACCAUGGGAGCGGGUUCCGCCAGAAGUAGGUAGCCUAACCGCAAGGGGGGCGCUUACCACGGCGGGGUUCGUGACUGGGGUGAAGUCGGAACAAGGUAGCCGUAGGGGAACCUGCGGCUG